rnacentral:misc_RNA from 1 species
GGAACCUCCUCCAGAACCACGAGUUGUGUAAAUUUCUUAGAUAAACGAAAGUGUUAGGUAGGUAUCAGUAUCACUCGCAUUCACAUUUAUAAAUGAAAAUAAAAUUUAAAGACCAAAUCCUUAUAAACUUAUAUUAAGACUAAUUUGUGAUUGCGAGUUUUAUUAAAUUUUAGAAAUGUAAUUAUAAUUUAUCAUUUAAUAGAAUAAAAUAAAAUGGUUAAUAAUAAAUUGUGAAGAGUAAACAAAUCAAAUAUGAAAGAAUAUAUAUAUAUUUUUUUGUUAUUUGGGGGUGGAGAGGCGGG